UGGGUCAUAAUAUUUUAAAAUAAAUCCUAUCCUUAAGGAUAUGGGUUAUUUGGACAGAAAUGGUUAUUCGCGAGUACUUUUGGAUAAUGAUUAAGUCAUUAAGGGAUCGAACACAAUGAAGAUCUUAGUUCCGCACUUUUUUAUUCAUAUGUUUAUAAUUUAAAUAUUUUGUUGUCAUGGAACACUCUUGUUUCUUAACAUGUGUUUAUAAGUUUGGAGUUAUGUAAUGACUUUUCUCUUAACUCGAAAUUUGAAAAUCCUAUUUAAACCUGAAAAGGGUAAGU
rnacentral:lncRNA from 1 species